CCAUUGCAGCAUAUUUUUUAGUAUUGAUGAUGCUAAAACUAGCAAUAUAACUUCUUAGCAUCAUCAAUAUCAUUGCUCUUAGAAUGUGAAAAUAGUUACCUUUAUAUCAUGAUUUGGCAUUUUCUAACAUGCAUCAGUGAUACUUUGAGCUUUUGCAUGAAGAUAAUGCCCCUUACAGCCCUUUUGAGGUGAACCAAAACAUUUUAAAUUUGAGGUUAUGUUCUUUGUGCUAGAAUAUUUUAAUCUUUUUUUUUAUUGUUUAUGUUUUGUUGUUUGUGUGGUAAUAUAUCAAGAUGUUUUGUAAUCAAAAAGUAAAGUUGUACGACUCUGAGUUUGUUGUUUAUUUAUUUUAAAAUGGGUUAUUGAUGGUGAGCUUAUGUAUUGGGUUAAUUGUGUGAUUGGUUU